AUGUAUUCACUUAACGUUGAUGAUGGUGAUGGCAGUUUGAAGUUGUCUGUUACUCAGUCUCAAAGUGUUGAUGGCACUGAGCCUGUUACCCAAGAUGAGGAUGUUCCUAUGCAGUUACAGCUCGAGGACGAAAGGAUAAGAAAGAAGAAGUAUGAAUUCCAUAAGAGAAAGGAAUUGGAACGGCGCCAAAAGGCUGCCUGUGUGCCAGAAAUUGAUGUUGAUGUUGCUCAAGCUCCUAAAUGUACAAACUUGAUGCAAACUCGUUUGACGCAAGUGUUUCAUUGUGAUGGAGUUAAGGAGAAGAAAGUUGUUUUGAAGAGGAAGAUGUCAGAUCAAAAUCCUGAUGGCACACAGAGGCGUAGCCCAUGUGUGAAAGCUGGUUCCCAACCUGGUAAUAGCAAAGCUGAUGCGGAUAGCGUUGCUGUAAAAAUUGGUCCAAGCAAACUUGGUGGCUCCUCUGUUCGUCGGAGUCCACGAGGUUUGACAAAUAAGAAGCCUUCUUCAUCUCCUCUUCAAGAGUGGUCUUUGUUGAAAGAAAAUAAGAAGCGUAAAGUUCAUCCUGCAAAGGUGAACAAAGGUGUGAAGAAGCGUGCUCGUGUCGAAGCUGAAGAUGCUACAUCUGAAGAAGAUGGUAUUGAAGUUGAUUCAGAAGAUGAAUUUGCAGUGCCUGUUAGCGUUAUGAGUCCGGUCAAGCCGGUGGGAGGCAAUGCCGGAAAAGUUGCCUUGGAUGAAGAUAUAAUGACUAUUGACAUGGGUGAGGCUAAUAAGAAGCUUCGCAUCACUAGCGAUGGUAUACAACAAUUAUUUGGUUUCCCUCGUGGUGGUCGUUCUGCGCCAAGGCCGUCAGAGGACGGAUAUGAUGACGCUCUGAUGAAGUUAAGAUUGGAGCUUGACAUUAGCAGGGACAAAGAUAUCAAGACAAAGGAUUUGAGGAAUAAGCUCAAGGUGCUCGUCAAGGAUCCUAGCAAAGAUGACCUUGCUCUGAAAGUGUUCUUCAUUAUUGUGUUUAUGAAGGUUGUGUUGCCUGGAUCUGCCCCGCGUGUUUCCAGAGAGGCAGCAAUGUUUGAGAGUCUCGUCUUUGAGGACAUGGGAAAUAUGGAUUAUUACCAGCUGAUGGUUGAUGAGCUUAGAAGGCUGUUGCCAAGUACCAAAGUGGUCAUACCAUGGGGAAGGCAAUCACAGGAUGUGCCAUAG
rnacentral:rRNA from 1 species